UCCGUCGAUGGUGUAGUGGUAACACGUGUCCCUGGAAUGGAUGAGACGCGAGUUAGACUCCCGUCUGAGGUU